UCUGCCCAACCUCUGCUCGCCUGCCUCGGCCCCUGCGGGUGGGGAGAGGGAUCCUCCCCCCUUCCACUUUGCACCAGUCCGAGGGAAUUUGCGGUCGGUGACGCGCAUCCUUAAGCGAGCCACCUGCAGCGCGGGGCGCGCCGCUCUGGGCGGCAUCGCAGGCUGGGCCGGCGCGGCCUGGGGACCCCGGGCUCCGGAGGCCAUGCCGGCGUUGACGCGCCGCGGCGGCCGGCUGCCGCUGCUCGUUGUCUUUUCAGCAAUGAUAUCGGAGACUAUUACAAAUCAAGACCUGCCUGUGAUCAAGUGUGUUUUAAUCAAUCAUAAUAAGAACAGUGGUUCAUCAGUGGGGAUGUCAUCAUCAUAUCCCACGCCAUCAGAAUCCCUGGAGGACCUCGGCUGUGCCUUGAGGCCUGAGAGCACCGAAGCUGUCUACGAAGCGGCCAGCGUGGAAGUAGACAUGGCUGCAUCCAUCACACUGCAAGUGCUGGUCAGCACGCCGGGGGACAUCUCCUGUCUCUGGGUCUUUAAGCACAGCUCCCUGGAUUGCCAGCCACACUUUGAUUCACAAAACAGAGGAGUUGUUUCUAUGUUCAUUUUGAAAAUGACAGAAACCCAAGCUGGAGAAUACCGACUUUUAAUUGAAAGUGAAGCGACCAAUUACACAAUAUUGUUUACAGUGAGUAUAAGAAAUACACUGCUUUACACAUUAAGGAGACCGUACUUUAGAAAAAUGGAAAAUCAGGACGCCUUGGUCUGCAUAUCUGAGAGCAUUCCAGAACCGACUGUGGAAUGGGUGUUUUGCAAUUCACAGAGUGAAAGCUGUAAAGGAAAAAGUGCAGCUGUUGUUACAAAGGAGGAAAGUGUUCUUCAUGAGUUGUUUGGAACAGACAUAAGGUGCUGUGCCAGAAAUGAGCUGGGGAGGGAAUGUACCAAGCUGUUCACAAUAGAUCUAAACCAGACGCCUCAGACCACACUGCCACAGUUAUUUCUUAAAGUGGGGGAACCCUUAUGGAUCAGGUGCAAAGCUGUGCACGUAAACCACGGAUUCGGGCUCACCUGGGAAUUAGAAAAUAAAGCGCUGGAGAAGGGCAGCUACUUUGAGAUGAGUACCUAUUCCAAAAACAGAACUAUGAUACGGAUUCUGUUUGCUUUUGUAUCAUCAGUGGGAAGAAACAACACCGGAUAUUAUACUUGCUCCUCUUCCAAGCAUCCCAAUCAAUCAGCUUUGGUUACCAUCGUAGAGAAGGGAUUUAUAAACGCUUCCAAAACAAGUGAAGAUUAUGAAAUUGACCAGUAUGAAGAGUUUUGUUUUUCUGUCAGGUUUAAGGCAUAUCCACAGAUCAGAUGUACAUGGACCUUCUCGCGAAAAUCAUUUCCUUGUGAACAAAGUGUCCUGGACGAUGGGUACAGCAUAUCUAAGUUUUGCAACCAUCAACACCAGCCAGGAGAAUACAUAUUCCAUGCGGAAAAUGAUGAUGCCCAGUUCACAAAAAUGUUCACGCUGAAUAUAAGAAGGAAACCUCAAGUGCGAGGCGAGGCAUCAACAAGUAACGCUUCUUGUUCCUCUGAUGGAUACCCAUUACCAUCUUGGACCUGGAAGAAGUGUUCCGACAAGUCUUCCAACUGCACAGAAGAAAUCACAGAAGGAAUUUGGAAUAAAAAGGUUAACAGAAAAGUGGUUGGACCGUGGAUAUCCAACAGUAUUUUGAACAUGAGUGAAGCCAUCAAAGGGGCCCUGGUGAAGUGCUGUGCACACAAUUCCUUGGGCACAUCUUGUGAAACGAUCCUUUUACACUCACCAGGCCCCUUCCCUUUCCUCCAGGACAACAUCUCAUUCUACGCAACCAUAGGGCUUUGUCUCCCCUUCAUUGCCGUUUUAACCAUGCUAAUUUGUCACAAGUACAAAAAGCAAUUUAGGUAUGAAAGCCAGCUGCAGAUGGUACAGAUGACCGGUGCUUUGGAUAAUGAGUACUUCUACAUUGACUUCAGAGAAUAUGAAUAUGAUUUCAAAUGGGAGUUUCCAAGGGAAAAUUUAGAAUUUGGCAAAGUGCUAGGAUCAGGUGCUUUUGGAAAAGUGAUGAACGCAACAGCUUAUGGAAUUAGUAAAACAGGAGUCUCGAUCCAGGUUGCAGUCAAAAUGCUGAAAGAAAAAGCAGACAGUUCUGAAAAAGAAGCUCUCAUGUCUGAACUCAAGAUGAUGACUCACCUGGGAAACCAUGAGAAUAUCGUGAAUCUGCUGGGGGCAUGCACACAGUCAGGACCAAUUUACUUGAUUUUUGAAUACUGUUGCUAUGGUGAUCUUCUCAACUAUCUAAGAAAUAAAAGAGAAAAAUUUCACAGGACAUGGACGGAGAUUUUCAAGGAACACAAUUUCAGUUUUUACCCCACUUUCCAAUCACAUCCAAAUUCCAGUAUGCCUGGUUCAAGAGAAGUUCAAGUACAGCAGGACUUGGAUCGUACCUCAGGGUUGAAUGGGAAUUCGUUUCAAUCUGAAGAUGAAAUUGAAUACGAAAACCAAAAAAGGCUGGAGGAAGAAGAAGACUUGAAUGUGCUUACGUUUGAAGACCUUCUUUGCUUUGCUUAUCAAGUUGCCAAAGGAAUGGAAUUUCUGGAAUUUAAGUCGUGUGUCCACAGAGACCUGGCAGCCAGGAAUGUGCUCGUGACCCGUGGGAAAGUGGUGAAGAUAUGUGAUUUUGGAUUGGCUCGAGAUAUUAUGAGCGAUUCCAACUACGUUAUCAGGGGCAACGCCCGCCUGCCUGUGAAGUGGAUGGCUCCUGAAAGCUUAUUUGAAGGGAUCUACACAAUUAAGAGUGAUGUCUGGUCAUACGGAAUAUUACUCUGGGAGAUAUUCUCACUUGGUGUCAAUCCUUAUCCUGGCAUUCCAGUGGACACUAACUUCUAUAAACUCAUUCAGAGUGGAUUUAAAAUGGACCAGCCAUUUUAUGCUACAGAAGAAAUAUACUUUAUAAUGCAAUCCUGCUGGGCUUUUGACUCAAGGAAACGGCCCUCCUUCCCUAACUUGACUUCAUUUUUGGGAUGUCAGUUGGCAGAUGCAGAAGAAGCGGUGUACCAGAACAUGGAUGGCCAUGUUUCGGAGCGUCCUUCCGUCUACCAAAGCAGGAGACCUUACAGCAGACAGGUGGACGCAGGCCUACCCUCUCCACAGGCGCACGCGGAAGAUUCCUAGAGAAACAACAUCAUCUUAAGGACUCAUCCCUCCACCCCGGCUACCUUCAACAGAUUAUCUAUCACCAAACAAGAUUAACAUCAUCACUAAAAGAAAGUAUAUUCUCAACUGCUGCUUUGCUGGACUUUUCUCUAGAAGCUCUCUGUAUUUGCUCUUGUUGUCAAAGGAACUUUUGUAGAAUCGAAUCAGCCUUUUUGCAAGGCAGAAAGAGCUGGCCCAUUCUUUCAUCAGUCUUAAAAGGAUCCAUGACUCCUGCCCCCAGACUAAGAGAAGAAUACCUGAUGUUGGAUGUCUGCUGUCCUCUCUGCAGCUCUCCUUUGAAGCAGUUCCUUUCGUCAUCCUUUGAAGCUUAGCAUCCUCCAUCCCACAGGCUUAUAAAGUUGGACGUGUUCUUGUCCUUACAUGCCAGGUGUAGUUCUUGGUGAAGAACUUGGUGAAGUUUUGUCUUUUCUUUCUUCCUUCCCUCCUCUUCUCCUCCUCUUUUCCUCCUCCUCCAUCUUCUCCUCCUCCUCCUCAUCCUCCUUUUCCUCUUCAUCCUCCUCUCUCUCUCUCUCUCUCUCUCUCUCUAUCUCUGUCUCUCUCCCUCUCUUCACCGAGGCUGGAAUUCUCUCUCCACCACUUUUUAGCUGUGCAACAUUGGGCAAGGAACUGGCCUCAGUUUCCUCUUCUGGAAAAUGGGAUAAUAAAAAUGGGAUAAUAAUGGCACCUAUUUUACAGGGUUGUGAAAAUUAGAUGAGUUACAUAUAUUGUAUAUGAAUGUCAUAAACAUAUACAUGUAUUACAUAAACAUAAAAAUCACUUAGAUCAAUGCUUGGUCCAUAAAUAUAAUCUAAUUAUUAUCAUUUGCGCUUUGCUUUCUGGUUUUAAUCCUUUACUGUGAACCAGGCCACCAUAAACUCACUUAGAUUACACUAAUCCCUUCUCCUAAUCUCUCCAUCAUCCAGUGUUUUCUCUGAGCCCCCAACAGAUUCAUCACCCUAAAGUAUUGAUUUGCAUCUAUCACUGAGCUGGGAGCUUUCGGGGCCCCCCAUAGCCAGUUCCAUUGAGUUUCUCCUAUUAGAUGACAGAACACUGUCACUCUAGCCAAAACCUUGCUCCUGUUCACUGGGCAUGUCUCUAGCGUUCCCAUCUCCAGUUUUUCUUUUCUUCACCCUCUCUCUAUCUGGGAUGGGAACUCCCUUAUCCUCUCCCGAUUUAAGUCCUUGCUUUGUGACCAGGCUAGAGCUCCAUGUUCUCCUCCGGUCUUUCUCAGCUCCACCAGAGGCGGCUCCCCCACUGACAUCUUGUAAAGGCUUUGAGUCUAUACCAUCUGAUUGGCUCUGAACAUGGAGUCUAUCUAUCUACCUUAUGUGGUAAUUUAUCUUCUUAAAUAAACAUCCUCUCUUUUUACUUGAAUUUUAAGAAGUUUGAAAGUAGAUAUGAUGUAUGCCAAGUUGUAUGUCUAAUUCCUAUUUGUGUAUACAGUCGGGACACAAUAAAUAUAUGUAUUCAAUUAUUUCUUACCUACACAACUUAAAGUAUGAAACAUACUUGAUAUUAAAAAUUCAGAUGAUUUUAUAUUUUUACUUAUACUGAUAAGUGAAAUUUCCCCAUUAUGCACCCAAAUUCCAAAUUCUUCAGGGGAACUACUGUUAAAAUUUUAGGUAUAUUUUCUCCAUCUUUUUCUU